UACGUAGGGCGCAAGCGUUUGUCCGGAAUUAUUGGGCGUAAAGAGCUCGUAGGCGGUCUGUCGCGUCUGUUGUGAAAACUCGAGGCUCAACCUCGGGCUUGCAGUGGAUACGGGCAGACUAGAGUGCGGUAGGGGAGACUGGAAUUCCUGGUGUAGCGGUAAAUGCGCAGAUAUCAGGAGGAACACCGGUGGCGAAGGCGGGUCUCUGGGCCGAUACUGACGCUGAGGAGCGAAAAGCGUGGGGAGCGAACAGG
rnacentral:rRNA from 1 species